rnacentral:rRNA from 1 species
AAGCUCGUAGUUGAAUUUCGGGAUUAAUUUAUUGGUCGUGCAAUAGUACGUACUGGUAUUAUUGAUUCCUACCUUCUGACGAACCAUGAUGUCAUUAAUUUGGUGUCAUGGGGAAUCAGGACUGUUACUUUGAGAAAAUUAGAGUGUUUAAAGCAGGCUCACGCUUGAAUACAUUAGCAUGGAAUAACGAAAUAGGACGUUUGAUUCUAUUUUGUUGGUUUCUAGGAUCGACGUAAUGAUUAAUAGGGAUAGUUGGG